AUGGGUGAGACACUAAGGGUGGGCACACAUUUGGAUAUUGAAUCCGAGCUAAAUCUGAUCAAAGAGACCAGGAGAGAACUAAGGGAUGACGGUUCCACGGAGAAAGACGAGAGGAAAGUCAUGAAGAAACUUGGCCUCAAGAGGGCACGAAACUUUGGGUGGCCAAACACCUAUGUCUUCACUAAGGCAAUGGGGGAGAUGAUGAUGGGGCUCUUGCGAGGGGACUUUCCGGUAGUCAUCAUCCGCCCGAGCAUCAUAACCAGUACACUCAAGGAGCCAUUGCCUGGGUGGAUGGAAGGAAUUAGGACCGUCGACGCAGUGAUCAUGGGUUAUGCCAAGCAGACCUUACCAUUCUUUCUAGGCAACCUUGAUUUAAUACUCGACAUGAUUCCGGGGGACAUGGUGGUGAAUGCUAUGAUGGUUGCCAUGGCAGCACAUUCAGAUGAUCAAAAAGGUCAGAUCAUCUACAAUGUAACUUCGUCAGUAAGCAACCCAGCACCCUCAGCCCUAGUCAUAGAUGCAAUGCACCGUUACUUCUUUGAGAACCCGCCAUGCAAGGGGAACGGUGAGCGUGUCCGGCUGAAGAAGAUGCGAUUCUUUAGCACGCUCACACAGUUGAGAUUGUACAUGGCCAUCAAGUACAAGCUUCCUCUCGAGAUGCUUCGCCUAGUGAGCAUCGCACUCUGCGGCAUCUUCUCAGAAUGCUACAACGAGCUCAACGGAAAAUACAGUUUCGUCAUGCAGAUGAUCGAGCUCUACGCACCAUACACCUUGUUCAAAGGGUGCUUUGAAGACACGAACUUGGUGAAGCUAAGGACGACAAUGAAUAAGGAUGAUCAAAUUAACAAUGGAGCAUAUUACUUUGACUUUGAUCCCAAGUCCAUAAACUGGGGGUGGAGGGGUCCGUGGAGUUGGAGC
rnacentral:rRNA from 1 species